CGUAGGUGGCAAGCGUUGUCCGGAUUUAUUGGGUUUAAAGGGUGCGUAGGUGGUCCUAUAAGUCAGUGCUGAAAUAUCCCGGCUUAACCGGGAGGGUGGCAUUGAUACUGCAGGACUUGAGUAAAGUUGAGGUAGGCGGAAUUGACGGUGUAGCGGUGAAAUGCUUAGAUAUCGUCAAGAACACCUAUUGCGAAGGCAGCUUACUAAGCUUUAACUGACACUGAGGCACGAAAGUGUGGGGAUCAAACAGGAUUAGAUACCCUGGUAGUCCACACUGUAAACGUUGAAGACUCGAUGUUGGCGAUACACAGUCAGCGUCUUAGAGAAAUCGUUAAGUCUUCCACCUGGGGAGUACGCCGGCAACGGUG
rnacentral:rRNA from 1 species